GACGAAGGGGGCUAGCGUUGUUCGGAAUUACUGGGCGUAAAGCGCGUGUAGGCGGUUCUCCAAGUCCGUUGUGAAAGCCCCGGGCUCAACCUGGGAAUGGCAGUGGAAACUAGGGGACUUGAAUCUGGCAGAGGGGGGUGGAAUUCCACGUGUAGCAGUGAAAUGCGUAGAUAUCUGGAGGAACACCGGUGGCGAAGGCGGCAUCCUGGACCGGCAUUGACGCUGAGGCGCGAAAGCUAGGGGAGCAAACGGG
rnacentral:rRNA from 1 species